rnacentral:rRNA from 1 species
ACACCGCCCGUCGCUCCUACCGAUCGAGUGCUUAGGUGAAUUUGAUGGACGUAAGGAAGUCAAAUAAACCUGAGCACUUAGAGGAAGGAGAAGUCGUAACAAGGUUUCCGUAGGUGAACCUGCGGAAGGAUCAUUCCAAUAGCGCGCGAUUCAUUGGUUCUCUUCCUGCGUCAGCAGUGUAAAAAGGUUUUUUAGCUUUGGAGGUGUCGGGUACUGAUCCGAGGAAGGACGCAGUUACACGCGAUAUUCAACCUGAAUCGCAAAACUGCGGAUGGUCGGGUGUCUGAAUGCUCAAAGCCGGAGCUACUGGUCACGCUCCAACACACCCCUUCGGUGUCUCACUUCCGCGUGAUGUGAGAAUUCCAAAAUAUUUUCACGUGACCACUAGCAGGGCAUGUAGUUAAUUUAAGCUUAUAAGUUAAUACACAAAGAAACUAAACAGGAUGGACAGAGUAGUGGCGAAUGAAAAGUCCAAAGACCGAUCCGAAUUCAAGUUGUGGAUCCUACACUUCGGAAGACUCCAAACUACCUGGAACGGUAGGCCGCAGAGAGUGAUAGCCUCUUUAGAGUCGGAAGAAGCG